rnacentral:rRNA from 1 species
CUGCUAAUACCCGAUGUGCCGAGAGGUGAAAGAUUUAUCGCCUGGGGAUGGGCUCGCGUCCGAUUAGCUAGUUGGUGGGGUAAGAGCCUACCAAGGCGACGAUCGGUAGCUGUUCUGAGAGGAUGAUCAGCCACACUGGGACUGAGACACGGCCCAGACUCCUACGGGAGGCAGCAGUGGGGAAUUUUCCGCAAUGGGCGAAAGCCUGACGGAGCAACGCCGCGUGUGGGAGGAAGGUUUUAGGACUGUAAACCACUUUUCUCAGGGAAGAAGAACUGACGGUACCUGAGGAAUCAGCAUCGGCUAAUUCCGUGCCAGCAGCCGCGGUAAUACGGGAGAUGCAAGCGUUAUCCGGAAUUAUUGGGCGUAAAGCGUCCGCAGGCGGUUACACAAGUCUGUCGUUAAAGUACACAGCUUAACUGUGUGUGAGCGAUGGAAACUGUGUGACUAGAGUGCGGUAGGGGUAGGGGGAAUUCUCGGUGUAGCGGUGAAAUGCGUAGAUAUCGGGAAGAACACCAGCGGCGAAAGCGCCCUACUGGGCCGCAACUGACGCUCAUGGACGAAAGCUAGGGGAGCGAAAGGGAUUAGAUACCCCUGUAGUC